rnacentral:sRNA from 1 species
GCUGGGUGUGGUGGUGCAUGCCUAUAAUCCCAGCGACUGGGGAGACUGAAGCAGGAGGAUUACAAGUUCAGAGCCAGCCUCAGCAAUUUAGUGAGGCCCUAAGCAACUUUGUGAUACCCUGUAUCAA